UGUAGUUCCACCAAUACUAGGUUGUGGGAAAGGCUCUCCCUACCGAGUCUGAUGAAGCUUUGGGCCACCAAUGAGGUCGGCGCCAAGUCCAAAUUCUGGUAAGCCAAGGUUUUGAUUGUGAUUUUUAGAGCUUUUAGAUUUGUUAUUGGAUUUAGGGGAUUCUAGACAUGUUUUUUUAAUUUGGGUUAUCGAUUUUUUUUUUUUUUUUUUUUUUCUGUUGAUUGAUUUUUGAUUAGGUAUUUUCUGAGGAAGUUGAGAAUGCAAUAAGUUUUAUAAGAAUUAGCUGCCUGCCUGUUUGUGUCUGGUAAUAUUUGAUGAACAUAUAUAUGAUCAUAUAAGAAUUAGUUGUUUGUCUGUUUGUGUCUGCAAAUCAUUAAGUUGCAAACUACCUGUCUGUUUGUGUCUGGUGCAAAAUAUUUGGCUAACUGUAGUCUGUAUGUGUACAAUUCAGAAAGUUGAAUUUACUUUCAUUUGGAGAAGAAGCUGAAGAAGAGGAGAAGGAAUUAGCAGCUGUAAAGAAAAAAAUCAAGAGCAGUCAUGAUGUACUUGAUGAUCCUCGUCUUCUGAAGGAUGCUAUUCCAAAUGAUGGAUUGGUAUUGCCCUGUGCUCGAAAUGUGGGGAACUUGGGUAGGGGUAAGAGGAAGAAGGUGCCAUUGGUGUCAGAGAAGCGGCUCUCAGAUUCUAAUCAAAUGUUCGAGUUGCUAAAAAAACUUUUUUUGUUUGGAUUGCAUAAAAGAACGAUACUUCAACUCGCAAGAAGUCAAAGAUGCAUGUCCAGUUUGUCGCAAAAUUUGUACUUGUAAGGACUGCUUGGAAAAUCCAUCUAAAGACAGUGAAAGUAAGGUCUGAGUCUGACAUCAUUGUUGCCUGGUUUGUGAUAUGGAUUACCAAUAUUAUGAAUUAAAUUGUGAUGGUAAACUUUGUACAAAGAC